rnacentral:snRNA from 1 species
CUUCUCAGCUGUUUGGCCAAGAUCAAGUGCAAUAUCUAUUCU